UUCACUUCAGUAAUAUUCCUUUUGUUACUUCUUGUUAGUUUUGUCAUGUAACUUUCUUUAUGUAGUGUUUGUGUUUAAAUAAAUUCCUUUUGUUAAAUGUUAAAGUUUGUCUGGUUUAAAUUUUACCAGUUUUGUUUAACAACUUUACAGCUAGCCGUGGUCACAACGCUACAUAAAAGAAAAUGGCUGCCCAACGGUGGGCCUCGAAAGUUUAAAAUUAUUCUAAAAUAAAAGUCGUACUCUUUACCGAAACUCGAGCUCAAUUGUUUCUUCUAGCUUUUCUGGUGAUAUGAACAAUUUCGAAUAUCCAUUUUGAAAUAUGACGGAAUAAUCCAAUGUCUUUUGGUUUUAGUGGGAAGCAGUUAUACAGUAGAUCUUUACUUGAACUGUGAAACAACUUUUCGCUAAGUUCAACCUGCAUCAAUGACCAGGAACAUGAAGAGUAAAAAGCUCCUUUUAUUCAACCCAAGAAAGGAUUUACAGUCAGAACGUUUGGUGCUACAAGACAGUCUUCUGCAGGGCUCCGGCACUUCUAAUUUUAGAAAUUCAACUCUGGAGAUAUGUGAAUAGAAGUGAAAAGCGGCUUAUUUCUGAAUCCGAAAGCGCGCCUUUUCUUAUUUGUAGGGUUCUUCACUGUGAAAACGAGACACUUUUAUUUUUUGUCAUUGAAUUAGGGGAACUAAAUAAGCCUCUUCCUCCGAAGCUCAAAUUAAAUAUGUUUUUCUUGUAAGAUAAUACAGGCAAAUUGCAUUACUCCCUGUUAUGUGUUUUAUUAUAAGAAAACGUCCAGACUACAUCUAAGAACAUCUCACACUGUA